UCCCUGGUGGUCCAGUGGUUAGGACUUGGCGCUGUCACUGCUGUGGCCCAGGGUCGAUCCCUGGUCGGGGAA
rnacentral:tRNA from 1 species